GUCUCUUGCGUCGCGACGCUCUUACGCUGCUGACAUCUCGGACUCCGUCACUUCACUUCACUUCAUCGCUACGGAAUAAAACGGAUACUGACUUGACCCGAUAUCUUUUUCCAGAAGUGCUCUGGACCAAAGACAUGGCUUCGUUAUCGUUCCUUGUUAUUCCGCCGAAACGUCCGAUACGGGAGCGGCCAUAAACUUUCGGAUAGCAGCUUUUUCCGGCAAGAUUAAUCGCACGACGUGCAUCAUGAUUCCUCGUACGACGCCAUCUGACGUUCAGUGAAAUUAACGAUUGUGAUUUACGAUUAAACUAUAAAACACCGAAGCCUCCAGGCGAGAGAGGGCACCACUGUUCUCUGACGGGAGACUAGCCGAUCGGUCGCUUGAACGUUACGUACAUCUACUAUGGCUUUAUACUGCCCCUCUAUAUGUAUACAGUGUUCAACAGUUCUCUGUAGUGCAGUACACGAAGGGUCGUGCAAAGAGUGAGAAAGAGAAAGAGUAAAAAUAAGAGAAAUGACAGAGAGAGAAAGAGAGAGAAAGAAAUAACAGCAGCACGCCAUCGCGUAUCCGCACUGAUGACUGUAUCGUGUAUAUGCCGUUGUUACUGCUGCUGCUGCUACAAGCCGUCAUAAAUCAGCGUAAUUAAAAUGCCUGCUGGGGAAUAAAUGAUUGCGCGACAAACUCGCCAGGGUAAGGGAGAUGCAUAGGGGACACACGUGCAGGCAGACGUGAGAGUGGGUUCAAAUCAAAGUCACUUGGCCGAUUGAACGUUAAUCCAUUCAGACUAACGAAGGAUCCUUCAGUGACACCCUCAUCCAGUACCAACCUAACCUAAAUGCUAUAGCAGUAACAGUAGACUAUGGAUAUUCGUUUCCACCAGAGACGACACGAAUACGGCGAAGAUCGCGCGACGUUUCAAUAAAUUCGUGGUGGAAGUCGUGAGCUCAGGGUGGCUCCCGUUCUGGGAGUUGGCGAUGCCAGGAGCAAAGUAUCGCAUAGCCGGGAGGUCUCGGCUGGACAACCGUGUGCCGGUUGUCGGGCAUUCCGUUGUUUGUUUCUUUCUCAAUAUUACCAUAACUCCGUCGCAUAAAUACCGAAACGGCGGCAUUCCUGAGCACUGGCGUGAGUUAUAGUCCUGGUGCGACUAGUCCUCCACAAGGCGGCAGCACGAUCGUCCAAGAGUCCCAACCGCUUCUGUGAAAUCCACCAGUCGAUUCUACGUUCCCUAUAACCCUCUCCGCCCCUCUCUCAAAUCUCUCUAACCGAAUACUCUUCUUCAGGUACUAUAAAACAAAAGAAUACCGAACAUCGGGUACUGUCCCAAAAUCAUCAUCCACUAGUACGAGGUCCAGCCAAGGACAAAAAGUUCCAUUCCAUUUAUCCCAGCAUCUCUGACUGGUCCACCUACACGAUCCACCCAGAAGAGGUCAGGGACCUUUAACCCUGUCAUUCCUGACUCCGGCAUACGCAACUAUUGUCCAGCACUCAGAAACAAAAGCUUUCCUACGAGAGAGGGUAUCUCAUACGUCCUGGUGCACGCACGUUCGUGCGACCUGAUCAAACAAGCGCUAAUUACUGUCGCUUCACAGUUCACAGAGUGCAGUGAGAAAUCAUUGGCGUGGAUGGACGGGCCCAAGGAGUCUGACGAGUUCAGACGAUGAUUCCUGCAUUACGACGUACGUGAGUACACAUGCGACCACGUGCGAGUGCGUGUGCCUAUAUCGUCUUCUAAAAAGUUAGCAAGAGGGGUCUCGCCUUUUCCUUCCAAGAAGGAAGGAUCGCGUGUGCGAUCCCACGUUGAAGGCUGCAGCUGUUCUCCCGUUAAUCGCAGCUCGCCAUCUUAGGGAAUUAAUGGCAGUUCUGAAUGAAAAAAUACGAGGAUGACGCCAAAGACGGCUUGAAGUCUGUACGGUCUUAUGGUGAUUGUAUACUUAUAUAUACAAUGCGCAAUCAAUAAAAUUACUAAUCAUCACUGUUCCAGACGAUUAUCACGUAACUGUCGAUUGACUUUAAAUAAAUUGCAUAAAUUACAAUAAUUUGCAAAUCGUCAUCCGACGAAUUGCUUUCCCCAGAUCUUGUACGAAUAUAAUGACGUUCCUGACA